rnacentral:rRNA from 1 species
UACGUAGGGAGCAAGCGUUGUCCGGAUUUAUUGGGCGUAAAGAGCUCGUAGGCGGUUAAGAAAGUCAGGUGUGAAACCUCCAGGCUCAACCUGGAGACGCCACUUGAUACUUCUUUGACUUGAGUUCGGUAGGGGUAAGCGGAAUUCCUGGUGUAGCGGUGAAAUGCGUAGAUAUCAGGAGGAACACUGGUGGUGUAAACGGCUUUCUGGACCAUAACUGACGCUGAGGCACGAAAGCGUGGGUAGCAAACAGG